GAGAGCUAAUCGGACGAGGUGUAGCACUAUGACAACAACUAACGUGGUCAGGUUUACUGUUGUUAAUGGUGUGAGUAAUGUUGUGGGCCUUCCUCCCCCCUCCUGGCCUUGUUAAGGUGAUAACAAGACACAGUGAGGAGGAGAUGUUACAACAAAACUUUGGGAAAUUAAACUGAUCCAUAACAGAUGAAAAUGAUAACUGGAGCAUGGAACAAGAGCUCCCACCACCACUAUCACCACUACUAGCACCACCACCUAUGGCAAGAUGAGUUAACAACUAAACCUUGUGAAAUUAACAACUGGAGCAUGGAAACACUGCUGUUACAGGUAUGUCUUUAUGUCUGUCUAACUGUCUAUCUGUAUCU